UUGGGAUCUCAGGGAGAACCACACUUCGGGAACGAAGCAGAUGGACCAACCUUUGAUCUAAGAGGAAGCGAGCCGAGUGGAUUCCACAUCUCGAACUGAGUUUUUUUUUUUAAAGAAAAAGGUGAGCGAACCACACACAGAUUUGAAGUCGAGUUUUUUAAUUAUGCCUGUUACGUAUACUCUGAGCGUGAAUUCCUUUAUAAGGAAGGCACCUUGGCGGCGUAAGCAGGGCCGAGUCAGAGGAGAGUAAUCUGGGGGUUUAGUGGACUCAAAAGAUACUCUGCGCUGUCCGGUUGCCAGUGACCAAGAGCCCUCCUGACACUGAAUUGAUCACAGUGGGUAUUUGGUGAGGUCUGUCGGGGUGAUGGGCCAGGGGGUCUGUGUGUUCUAGGUGAAACACGGCACUUGGUGAAGCCCUAUUGGAAGAAGGACCUCAUUCUGUGUAUCUGUGUGAUUUGUCUAAGUGACCCUCAGAUGUGGUGAAUUCCAAUUAUUUUAAAUAUGCUAGCUAGGUAUGCCCUGGGUUACUCUGUGUGAGUCGAACCGUUCUGUGUGAGCGGGGUAGGGUUGACUCUGUGUGAGUCGGACCGUUCUGUGUGAGCGGGUUGGGUUGACUCUGUGUGGGAAAACCUUUCGAUGCCCUGUGUGGACGUCGAAAAAGUUCUAUGUGAAAAUCUGAACAAUCCUGUGUGGAUGAUCUUGAAAGUUCUGUGGAAGAUACUCUUGGGGAGAGUGAGUGAAGGGAGGCCAUAAACUACCACAUUGGAGGGGGCCGGUGUCACGCCCUGGUCUAAGUAUUUUGUGUUUAUCUUCAUGUAUUGGGUCAGGCCAGGGUGUGGCAUGGGGUUUUUGUAUUGUGGUGUGUUUUGUCUUGGGGUUUUGGUGUAUAUGUAUUGGGAUUGUAGCUAGUGGGGUUAUCUAGCAAAGUCUAUGGCUGUCUGGAGUGGUUCUCAAUCAGAGGCAGGUGUUUAUCGUUGUCUCUGAUUGGGAACCAUAUUUAGGCAGCCAUAUUCUUUGAGUUUGUCGUGGGUGAUUGUCCUUAGUGUCCUUGUUCCUGUCUAUGUGUUAGGUUACACAAGUAUAGGCUGUUUCGUUAUUGAUUCGUGUUUUACGUUCGUUAUUAAACAUGGAUCGCAAUCUACACGCUGCAUUUUGGUCCGACUCUCCUUCACACCUAGAAAACCGUAACAGCCGGGAAGUUUUUUGUUGUAGUGCAAAGGUAUUAUAGGGGCACUUUUAUUUUAUUUUCUGACUUUUCAUUACACACGCAAAUUAUUUUGAUAAAGGAAUGUUCUGGGAACAUGGAAAUACGAAAAUGUUUGGAACUAGUUGAUUAUUGUUUGCAAAUUGUUUCAUAUAGUGCAAAACACUGCUUUGGAGGGUUUGUAUGACCUAUGACCUUCUGAUGACUUUCCGUUGUGGUUUGAUCACCCGCAUUGGAAAGCCAUUUGGAUAAUGAAAUUAUGGUCAUUUGUAAUACUGCUUUCAAAAUAAUUUUUGUAAUUGGUAAAUAUGUUUCUUAUCCAUAUGUGUAAUUUGGACCAAUGUAGGGCAUUGCUUUUAACUAAGGGUAUGCUGCUUUAAGUCUAUUUUCCUAUGACCAUAGGG
ensembl:lncRNA